rnacentral:rRNA from 1 species
UACAGAGGUCUCAAAGCGUUGUUCGGAUUCAUUGGGCGUAAAGGGUGCGUAGGCGGCGCGGUAAGUCGGGUGUGAAAUCUCGGAGCUUAACUCCGAAACUGCAUUCGAUACUGCCGUGCUUGAGGACUGGAGAGGAGACUGGAAUUUACGGUGUAGCGGUGAAAUGCGUAGAUAUCGUAAGGAAGACCAGUGGCGAAGGCGGGUCUCUGGACAGUUCCUGACGCUGAGGCACGAAGGUCAGGGGAGCAAACGGG